GUCCAGGUAGCUCAGUUGGUUAGAGCACAAGACUGAAAAUCUUGGUGUCAGUGGUUCAACUCCACUCUUGGACA
rnacentral:tRNA from 1 species